rnacentral:rRNA from 1 species
UACAGGGGGUGCAAACGUUGCUCGGAAUCAUUGGGCGUAAAGCGCACGUAGGCGGUCUGUUAUGUCGGAUGUGAAAGCCCUUGGCUCAACUGAGGAAGUGCAUCCGAAACUGGGCAGGCUAGAGUACUAAAGAGGAUCGGCGGAAUUCCCGGUGUAGAGGUGAAAUUCGUAGAUAUCGGGAGGAACACCGGUGGCGAAGGCGGCGAUCUGGGUAGAUACUGACGCUGAGGUGCGGAAAGCGUGGGGAGC